UGAAUUUUAAGUUAAAUAAACUAGAAAUCUUCCAAAUUUCCAAUAAGGUAUCUUAAAUUCAA
rnacentral:tRNA from 1 species